rnacentral:rRNA from 1 species
GACGAAGGAUGCAAGCGUUAUCCGGAUUCAUUGGGUUUAAAGGGUGCGUAGGCGGACUGAUAAGUCAGUGGUGAAAUCUCUUUGCUUAACAAAGAAACUGCCAUUGAUACUGUCGGUCUAGAGUAUAGAUGACGUUGGCGGAAUAUGACAUGUAGUGGUGAAAUACUUAGAUAUGUCAUAGAACACCGAUUGCGAAGGCAGCUAACGAAAACUAUAACUGACGCUGAGGCACGAAAAGUGCGGGGAUCAAACAGG